GAACUAAACCAGGUGGACGCGCGGCAACCGCCGUGAGGAAAGUCCGGGCAUCACAGAGCAGGAUAGCUGUUAACGGCAGCCGAGGGUGACCUCAGGGCAAGUGCAACAGAGAUAUACCGCAGGCGCAGACCAUAUCCGCGACUGUAAGGGUGGAAAGGCGAGGUAAGAGCUCACCGGAUACGCGGAGACGCGUAUGCCAUGUAAACCCUAUCCGAUGCAACGCCGAUUGGUUCGGAGAGCAACGUGCCUGCUCGGCGCGCUCCGUUAUAGGCGGCUACAUUGCGAAAGCAAGACAAGCUUACCGGCGACGGUAAGCUCAGAUAGAUGUUCACCCAACGACAAAACCCGGCUUACAGAUUUAGUUCAGGA
rnacentral:RNase_P_RNA from 1 species